UGGGGAAUUUUGGACAAUGGGCGAAAGCCUGAUCCAGCAAUGCCGCGUGUGUGAAGAAGGCCUUCGGGUUGUAAAGCACUUUUGUCCGGAAAGAAAUCCUUGGCUCUAAUACAGUCGGGGGAUGACGGUACCGGAAGAAUAAGCACCGGCUAACUACGUGCCAGCAGCCGCGGUAAUACGUAGGGUGCAAGCGUUAAUCGGAAUUACUGGGCGUAAAGCGUGCGCAGGCGGUUUGCUAAGACCGAUGUGAAAUCCCCGGGCUCAACCUGGGAACUGCAUUGGUGACUGGCAGGCUAGAGUAUGGCAGAGGGGGGUAGAAUUCCACGUGUAGCAGUGAAAUGCGUAGAGAUGUGGAGGAAUACCGAUGGCGAAGGCAGCCCCCUGGGCCAAUACUGACGCUCAUGCACGAAAGCGUGGGGAGCAAACAGGAUUAGAUACCCUGGUAGUCCACGCCCUAAACGAUGUCAACUAGUUGUUGGGGAUUCAUUUCCUAGUAACGUAGCUAACGCGUGAAGUUGACCGCCUGGGGAGUACGGUCGCAA
rnacentral:rRNA from 1 species